rnacentral:tRNA from 3 species
GCGGAGGUCGCCAAGCUAGGUCAAAGGCGUAGGAUUGAGGUUCCUAUCUCUUAGGAGUUCGUGGGUUCGAAUCCCACUCUCCGCACCA